rnacentral:rRNA from 1 species
UACGGAGGGUGCAAGCGUUGCUCGGAAUUAUUGGGCGUAAAGGGUAGGUAGGUGGUCUCGUUUGUCUGGGGUGAAAGCCUUGAGCUUAACUCAAGAAGUGCCCCAGAAACGGCGAGACUAGAGUUCUUGGAGAGGGUCGUGGAAUUCCCGGUGUAGCGGUGAAAUGCGUAGAGAUCGGGAGGAACACCAGAGGCGAAGGCGGCGACCUGGACAAGUACUGACACUCAACUACGAAAGCGUGGGGAGCAAACAGG